rnacentral:rRNA from 1 species
GAAGUAAAAGUCGUAACAAGGUCUCCGUUGGUGAACCAGCGGAGGGAUCAUUAA